UCUUUUAUUGUCAAUACGAGUUUACAUGGAAUCAAAUCCAAGUCCAACCAUAAGAGCCAUAAAUCGUCAACAUGAACCUUGUUGGAAACACAACAACACGAAUACCAAACACCUCUUUAUUUUCACCAAAUUAAACUUUUACAUGAAAUAAAAUCUAGAACUAAAUAAAUAGCCACAUGGAUAAUUUAGUCGAGCACCUUUCAGUACACUUAUAGAACCAGGACUGAUAUGAGAGAUACUUCAACAUGCACUAGGAGAUCCUCCUAGGUGGGGUGGUAUCGUUAUCAGCCUUGUGGAACUUCAGUACUGCGCCCAUUAUUGGACUUGGCGCGGUCCUCUUCUAUUUCCUUUUGGGUUGCUGUUGUUUCUUUUGUUGAAGCUGCAAAAGUGGUUGCUUAAUCUUCAGAAAAAAAUUCAGACCCACACACACACACACACACAUAUAUAUAUAACUAAGAUUUUUUAGGAAUAAACAAAGUUUCAACAAACUAAUUAUAUAAGGCUUACCUUCUUAAAUGCCUCAACCAUUUGACUGUUAAACAUAUCUUUGUAUUUCUUAGCAUACUCCAUUAGUUCUUCUUCAUUCAUGGUCUCCAUCCUUGCCAGCUGCAAACAAUGUUGUCGUAUACAUGAAUGAUGAGCAAGUACAUAUCAUACAAUUGUUCUAAGAACUACUUGAAUAUAUA
rnacentral:lncRNA from 1 species